UACGUAGGGUGCGAGCGUUAAUCGGAAUUACUGGGCGUAAAGCGUGCGCAGGCGGUUCGUUGUGUCGGCGGUGAAAGCCCCGGGCUCAACCUGGGAAUGGCCGUUGAAACUGGCGAACUGGAGUGUGGCAGAGGGGGGGUGGAAUUCCGCGUGUAGCAGUGAAAUGCGUAGAGAUGCGGAGGAACACCGAUGGCGAAGGCAGCCCCCCUGGGCUAACACUGACGCUCAGGCACGAAAGCUAGGGGAGCAAACAGG
rnacentral:rRNA from 1 species